GGGUUGUGAGGUUAAGCGACUAAGCGUACACGGUGGAUGCCCUGGCAGUCAGAGGCGAUGAAGGGCGUGCUAAUCUGCGAUAAGCGCCGGUAAGGUGAUAUGAACCGUUAUAACCGGCGAUACCCGAAUGGGGAAACCCAGUGUGACUCGUCACACUAUCAUUAACUGAAUCCAUAGGUUAAUGAGGCGAACCGGGGGAACUGAAACAUCUAAGUACCCCGAGGAAAAGAAAUCAACCGAGAUUCCCCCAGUAGCGGCGAGCGAACGGGGAGGAGCCCAGAGCCUGAAUCAGCAUGUGUGUUAGUGGAAGCGUCUGGAAAGGCGCGCGAUACAGGGUGACAGCCCCGUACACAAAAGCGCAUGUGCUGUGAGCUCGAUGAGUAGGGCGGGACACGUGGUAUCCUGUCUGAAUAUGGGGGGACCAUCCUCCAAGGCUAAAUACUCCUGACUGACCGAUAGUGAACCAGUACCGUGAGGGAAAGGCGAAAAGAACCCCGGCGAGGGGAGUGAAAAAGAACCUGAAACCGUGUACGUACAAGCAGUGGGAGCCCCACCACCAAAGCAUUCUCUGGUGUUGAAGGCCCUGCAAAGCAGCAUCGCGGUGGCGGAGCGUCGUUUGCGACGCCCAACACAAAAAACAAGCGGUGAGUGCUUUGGGGUGGGGUGACUGCGUACCUUUUGUAUAAUGGGUCAGCGACUUAUAUUCUGUAGCAAGGUUAACCGAAUAGGGGAGCCGUAGGGAAACCGAGUCUUAACUGGGCGUUAAGUUGCAGGGUAUAGACCCGAAACCCGGUGAUCUAGCCAUGGGCAGGUUGAAGGUUGGGUAACACUAACUGGAGGACCGAACCGACUAAUGUUGAAAAAUUAGCGGAUGACCUGUGGCUGGGGGUGAAAGGCCAAUCAAACCGGGAGAUAGCUGGUUCUCCCCGAAAGCUAUUUAGGUAGCGCCUCGUGAAUUCAUCUCCGGGGGUAGAGCACUGUUUCGGCUAGGGGGCCAUCCCGGCUUACCAACCCGAUGCAAACUGCGAAUACCGGAGAAUGUUAUCACGGGAGACACACGGCGGGUGCUAACGUCCGUCGUGAAGAGGGAAACAACCCAGACCGCCAGCUAAGGUCCCAAAGUCAUGGUUAAGUGGGAAACGAUGUGGGAAGGCCCAGACAGCCAGGAUGUUGGCUUAGAAGCAGCCAUCAUUUAAAGAAAGCGUAAUAGCUCACUGGUCGAGUCGGCCUGCGCGGAAGAUGUAACGGGGCUAAACCAUGCACCGAAGCUGCGGCAGCGAC
rnacentral:rRNA from 1 species